rnacentral:rRNA from 1 species
AAUACGUUCCCGGGCCUUGUACACACCGCCCGUCACGUCACGAAAGUCGGUAACACCCGAAGCCGGUGGCCUAACCCUUGGGAGGGAGCCGUCGAAGGUGGGACCAGCGAUUGGGACG